rnacentral:lncRNA from 1 species
CCUCUUGAUGCAUAUUCUCUUGCGCCUGCGCUCUCGAAAAGACCAACAUAAUAAAAAGUUAUGAAUUGCAUUUCCAACUCCACUACCACUCACCAUGCCGUUGUUCUACCCACUAUAUCCAAACGUUAACAAAUGAUCACCACAUGCCAUACGCACAUACCAUCUCAACUUAACCGCUAUGACUCCUCAUCAUGAUUAGUAUUCCGAUAUCUAGUAUAUCCCCUUUUAUCUCGUUUAAAUGAUUAUUUAUGUACACUUAUGAUCACUACGACAGAUUAGCAGCUCCAAGUCAACAAAACGUAAAAAUGCUUGAAUCACGAAAUCAUACAAAAUUCAUCGGCUUGCUAAACCACUUUCACUUAAUAUCACAUUUACGCCCUCUGCCAGGCAGAAUAUGUGAGGAUAUAUUUGGGGACUGGCCCAUACGUCGCUAAAUUAGUAACAUAGAGGAUUGUAUUUUGGUUUUGUACCAAGAGUAAUGCAAACCUCACAGGCAUCUGUACAACUAUUUUCUAAGCUAUAUAUCAUUAAGACACGUGGCUUUUAAUGCGUUUUCAUGCGCUAGUGAAAAUGAAAUUUACUGCUCUUUUUGCGUAGUCAGUUACUGAUGUACUACCUGAGCUAUAUGCUUAUUAUUAUUAUUAUUAUUUUUUACCCUUCUGUAUUCUAGUUACCCAGCAUCAGAGCCUGUUUAAAGGAUGAGAAGAUCGCAUUUUCCACUUCAAAUAAACUUUUCCCUUCUCCAAAAAGUAUUAAAAGAAAAAAAAGUGCUGGUAUGUGUUCGUUAUGGUUUCAAGGACUGACACUCGGUAAUUGUGGUAAAAAUGUUUCCAAAAAAGGAUCCAACAAUAAAUACAAUGGCAGCUAAAAGCAUAGGCACAGCGUCAAAGACGUAGAUGAAAUAU